CCUCUCAAAGUGGUGGGAUUUGAAGCAUGAGCCACCAUGCCCAGCCUACUUCUUGAAAUUUGGUCUCCAACCAUGACAAAAAACUGGCCAUUGCCUAAUCAGUGUUUUCUAGUAUCUUGUCAAAACUCGAAGGCCAGUAAGCAAGUUUUUCAGAAUUUGUCUCCUGCUGACAUUUUGUGUCAGUUUUUUCCUGGAACACAGUGUACCCUUUGGAUGUUCCAAGGGAGGAGAUCAAGGCACCGUUAAGGUUGAACUGUGUCCCCCAAAAGAGAUGUUGAAAUUCUAUACCAAGUAUCUCAUAAUGUGACCUGAUUUAGAAACAGGGUGCUUGCAGGUACAAUCAAGUCAAGAUGAGGCAAUACUGGAUUAAGAUGAGCCCUAAUCCAGAGACUGUUGUCAUAAGGAGAGAAAAUUUGGACACAGAGACACAGACACAUGGGAAGAACACUAUGUAGUAAAGGAGGCAGAGACUGGAGUCAGGCGUCCAUAAAACAAAAAAAUGCCAAGGAUUGCCAACAACUACCAGAAACUAGGAAGAAUCAAGGAAGGAUUUUCCUGCUCUCCCAGCUCUCCAUCAAAUGAGGGUACAGUGAGACAACUGCUGUCUGCAAACCAGGAAGAGUGCCCUCCCCAGACACCAAAUCU